GACGAACGCUGGCGGCGUGCCUAAUACAUGCAAGUCGAGCGGACCAAAGGGAGCUUGCUCCUGGAGGUUAGCGGCGAACGGGUGAGUAACACGUGGGCAACCUGCCUGUAAGACUGGGAUAACAUCGAGAAAUCGGUGCUAAUACCGGAUAAUAAAAAGAACUGCAUGGUUCUUUUUUGAAAGAUGGUUUCGGCUAUCACUUACAGAUGGGCCCGCGGCGCAUUAGCUAGUUGGUGAGGUAACGGCUCACCAAGGCGACGAUGCGUAGCCGACCUGAGAGGGUGAUCGGCCACACUGGGACUGAGACACGGCCCAGACUCCUACGGGAGGCAGCAGUAGGGAAUCUUCCGCAAUGGACGAAAGUCUGACGGAGCAACGCCGCGUGAGUGAUGAAGGUUUUCGGAUCGUAAAACUCUGUUGUUAGGGAAGAACAAGUGCCGUUCGAAAGGGCGGCACCUUGACGGUACCUAACGAGAAAGCCACGGCUAACUACGUGCCAGCAGCCGUCGGUAAAG
rnacentral:rRNA from 1 species